rnacentral:rRNA from 1 species
GACGAGUCUCACGAACGUUAUUCGGAAUUACUGGGCUUAAAGGGUGCGUAGGCGGUGGAGUAAGUCGGGUGUGAAAUACCAUAGCUUAACUAUGGAACUGCACUCGAUACUACUUUGCUAGAGUAAGACAGAGGUGAGUGGAACUGAGGGUGGAGCGGUGAAAUGCGUUGAUAUCCUCAGGAACACCGGUGGCGAAGGCGACUCACUGGGUCUUUACUGACGCUGAUGCACGAAAGCUAGGGUAGCAAAC